GAACAUGUCGUUUUGACGUCCGAGCGUAGCCACAUCUCUGAAAAAAAAAAAAAACAACAACAAAGCAAAACAAAAACCAAAAUUAUACUCGAAGACGAAGCUGCAACUCUAUUGUUUCAAACUAUUGUGUAGUUGGUAGAUCCUAAUUUGUGUGGGCGCGCGACUAAGUAGGCAUGUUUCCAGUGGCUGAAGAGCUCGCUGUAAUUGUUCUGUGUAUGGACUGUGUAGAAGCACAUUGUACAGCACAAGCUCGAUUUCUCAGUUUCCGACGCUAUCGUGCCGUAAUUGGUGAAUUUUGUGUUUCUACUUCCUUAUUGUGCAAAUAUCUAGUAUGAAUGCUGCGGCACAUUAAAGAUCUACGUAAGAGACUACCUUUUCUUUUCGACUGCUUGUGGUAUGGGGCCUGAAAGUGCGGUACCGAUGUAUAGAAGUGUAACCCCUAACACCGCAUGAGCGGCCUAUGUGCUUCUAAAUAUUUGAUGUGAAGACUGUGACAAUCUACACGAGAUUAAAAAGUUAGGUAAUUAACAUACUGUUUUGAAUUUCGUGCGGGAAGAAUCAUUUGUUCUAAAGGCGAAAGGAAGUUUUCACUGUCUUUUCACCAGAAAGCAGAAUAAUCAGGACGAGUAAUUGUUGGCGUUAGAAACUGAAAUGUACUGUACAUUUCAAAUUAUGUGAGGUGGAAUGAGUGACGACAUGGUUACGAUAUUGUAUAUAGUUGAAACAGGGGUGUCUCCCAUCUUGAUGGUAUCAUUGGUCAAAGCAGUCACUGCCUGCACAUAGCUCAUGCCACAUGCUGUGCUGCUGCAGCAACCGGCCCAGCGUGGUCCAUGUUAACUCCACCACAUCUCACCGUCGCCACACCGUCCACUGGGUGUCCGUGUUGACACCACUGACUCCAUUGUGGUUGUUGGCAUGCACCAUGUUGCUGACCUUGCCAACAUUGCUGCAACUCUCCACCCAGUGCUGGAAAGGCAAAUGUCUCAUGCACACUUGCAUCGUACUGCAAUUAUUUGAUAUAUCCUGAAGACCAGGGCAGGGCCGACCCCGUGUGACUUCAGAAGAGUGGACUGUUAUUUGGCUUUAAGGGCACAACAGUAUCAUCUUAGUACUGCACAGCAACUGGCAUGUGAGCUCGCACCAUCCACUGGACGUGUUGUAGCAAGGAAAACAUUGUGCGGAAAGCUUCGGCAGAGUAGCCUUUGUCAGAGACCUACUGUACGUCUACCUCUUACGCGUCUUCACAGAAGGGAGUGUCUAGAGUGGCAUCAUCAACAUGCCAUGUGGACGGUAGAACAAGGGACCAAUGUUGUUUACACAGUCCCACUUUAGUCUGGUGAGUGAUUCACAAUGGAAUCACAUCUGAAGGAAACGUGGAACACUAUUUCGGGACCCAAACAUUGUGGAAAGAGACCGAUAUCGAGGAUCCAUAAUGGUGUGGGCAGGGAUUGUUGACCACUCGAACCCCUCUUCAUGAAACUGUGCAGAGAAUCGGAAAGGUUUAACUUGACUCCUGUCAGGUAUCAUGAUGAGAUCUUGGGACCUUACCUGCGGUUGUUGUGAGGUGCUGUGAGCCUAGACUUUGUAUUGUUGGGCAGUAAUGCUUGACCACAUAGAGCACAGGUGGUUGAUAUUUUCUUGUGAAUGAAAGGUAUUGCUCACACGGUGUGGCCUGCUUGCUCUCCCAAUUUGAGUUCCAUAGAACAUGUCUGGGAUACACUAAGGAGACUGCGUCUGCUGAUACCUUGCCUUAAUAAACAAAUCGAAGAGUGGUAAAUGCAAUUAUGAAGAAAGACUUGGGAUUUUAUGUCUAAUAAAUAUUAAUUGUAUUUGUGUAAAUUGGUUGUAAUGGUACACAAUAAAUUUUUAACUACUAA